UAGGGGGUAGUUUAAUAAAAUACACACCUUGGAAGUGUGAGAUCAGCAGUAGCUGUCCCCUAA
rnacentral:tRNA from 1 species